GAGUUUGAUCCUGGCUCAGAUUGAACGCUGGCGGCAUGCCUUACACAUGCAAGUCGAACGGCAGCACGGGUGCUUGCACCUGGUGGCGAGUGGCGAACGGGUGAGUAAUACAUCGGAACAUGUCCUGUAGUGGGGGAUAGCCCGGCGAAAGCCGGAUUAAUACCGCAUACGAUCUGAGGAUGAAAGCGGGGGACCUUCGGGCCUCGCGCUAUAGGGUUGGCCGAUGGCUGAUUAGCUAGUUGGUGGGGUAAAGGCCUACCAAGGCGACGAUCAGUAGCUGGUCUGAGAGGACGACCAGCCACACUGGGACUGAGACACGGCCCAGACUCCUACGGGAGGCAGCAGUGGGGAAUUUUGGACAAUGGGCGAAAGCCUGAUCCAGCAAUGCCGCGUGUGUGAAGAAGGCCUUCGGGUUGUAAAGCACUUUUGUCCGGAAAGAAAUCCUUGGUUCUAAUAUAGCCGGGGGAUGACGGUACCGGAAGAAUAAGCACCGGCUAACUACGUGCCAGCAGCCGCGGUAAUACGUAGGGUGCAAGCGUUAAUCGGAAUUACUGGGCGUAAAGCGUGCGCAGGCGGUUUGCUAAGACCGAUGUGAAAUCCCCGGGCUCAACCUGGGAACUGCAUUGGUGACUGGCAGGCUAGAGUAUGGCAGAGGGGGGUAGAAUUCCACGUGUAGCAGUGAAAUGCGUAGAGAUGUGGAGGAAUACCNAUGGCNAA
rnacentral:rRNA from 1 species